GACGAACGCUGGCGGCGUGCUUAACACAUGCAAGUCGAGCGGUAAGGCCCCUUCGGGGUACGACGAGCGGCGAACGGGUGAGUAACACGUGGGUGACCUGCCCUCAGCUCUGGGAUAAGCCUGGGAAACUGGGUCUAAUACCGGAUAUGACUCCAUGACGCAUGUCGUGGGGUGGAAAGCCUUGUGCGGCUGGGGAUGGGCCCGCGGCCUAUCAGCUUGUUGGUGGGGUGAUGGCCUACCAAGGCGACGACGGGUAGCCGGCCUGAGAGGGCGACCGGCCACACUGGGACUGAGACACGGCCCAGACUCCUACGGGAGGCAGCAGUGGGGAAUCUUGCGCAAUGGGCGAAAGCCUGACGCAGCGACGCCGCGUGAGGGAUGACGGCCUGUGUAACU
rnacentral:rRNA from 1 species